rnacentral:misc_RNA from 1 species
GCUCAGGGGAAACCUGAAAUUCAAAUACCUUUGGUCAAUGUAACACGACCAAACCAACCUAUACAACCACAUGUAGACAUGAGAAUUCAGCAAGUUUUGAUGAACAAAACCGUAAUCCUACAUUAUAAUGGAUCGUCCUUUACGCAGAUAUACAGUAAAGGAAGUUUGGACCUGUUUAAUAUAGAGGGAUACUUAACAUUUGAUAUGAUUCCAAAGAAUGGAAACUACUUUGUAUCUGUGUUAGACAAGCGUGUAUACAGAAACAUCACAAGUGGUAAAGUUAUGACAUCCUUUAACAACCCACUGACAAAUACCACGGUUCAAAUCCCAAAUGCUUCAGUGCAGAGAAACCUUACCAUUUUGUCGGAUGACGCCCUCAGUAUGCAGGUUCCAGGUGCCAAUACACUUGGCCUUUUAAUGACUCACUCAGAAAGCAUCACAUUCGGACCUUCCGUGGAAAAUGAACGGUGGUCGGUGACAAACAUUCAAGGAAUUUUCCCACAGAUAUUCAUAAAUGAGAAACAGGCUUUCUUUUAUGGGACCAUCUCUCAAUUCUCAAGCUGGCCAUUGUGGAUGAAGAUGAACAACACACCAGGCAACCUUGUCACCAAGGUUACAUUUGGACGUGUUUGUAGUCAUCAUUGAACUCAUUCAGUUUCAUAGUAUAGAAAGCAAUAUCAUGAAUAAAAAAAUUAU